UGGGGAAUAUUGGACAAUGGGCGCAAGCCUGAUCCAGCCAUGCCGCGUGAGUGAUGACGGCCUUAGGGUUGUAAAGCUCUUUCGCCAGGGACGAUAAUGACGGUACCUGGAUAAGAAGCCCCGGCUAACUUCGUGCCAGCAGCCGCGGUAAUACGAAGGGGGCUAGCGUUGUUCGGAAUUACUGGGCGUAAAGCGCAUGUAGGCGGGUCUUUAAGUCAGGGGUGAAAUGCCAAGGCUCAACCUUGGAACUGCCUUUGAUACUGGAGAUCUUGAGUCCGGGAGAGGUGAGUGGAACUGCGAGUGUAGAGGUGAAAUUCGUAGAUAUUCGCAAGAACACCAGUGGCGAAGGCGGCUCACUGGCCCGGAACUGACGCUGAGAUGCGAAAGCGUGGGGAGCAAACA
rnacentral:rRNA from 1 species